GCCCAAGUCAUUUGAUUUCACAAUUUUCGUUAAAGCGUAAUGGCUAUAAAUGGAUCCAACACCAGCAUCUUCCCAGUUCUCUCUCCCUGAGCUCAGGCCAUGGCGGCUCGUCUCGCGAGGUCAUUGGCGGCGUCAUCCCCAUCCUGGCCGUCGCGCAUCUCCAUCGUAAAUCGGAUCUCUGAUUUCGCCUCUUAUUCGUCUUCGUCCUCUUGGUGGUCGUCUCCGGAGGAUCUGACGGCGGGAUCGAAGAGGCGGGAGAAGAAGACUACAGACCGUUUCUCCGCCGCGAUCGACGCUGUCCAUGAUCGGAAGCUCCCGCCUGAGCUACGCGGACAUCGCAAUUUCGUAAGGUCAGAGACUGAUAUAAUCAACGUGGUCGAGCAAAGGAUAUGGCACUCAAUGGAAGAAGGCCAGUUUGAGAAUUUGCCUGGUAAAGGCAAACCCUUGAACCUCCACACAAAUCCUCACGCCGACCCAGCGGAGGAUACAUUGUAUCGGAUUCUUAACAAGAACGGGUUUGCUCCCGAAUGGGUGGAGCUCAACAAAGACAUAAGAAGCAAAGCAAAAGAAUGGAGAGUUUCACUGAAGAAAGCAUGGGCUAUGAAACUCGAGGAUGACCAAUCGGGUUGGGAAGAGCGAUCAGAUUUGCUUAAAACGCAACUGAAGCAAAUCAACAACAUGGUGUUUAGGUACAAUCUGAUUGUUCCUUUUGGCCGUCAAAUGUUUGGAUUGAAGUGGGAGAAAGAGAUUGAUCGCCUGAAAGAAUAACAUCUUCAGAUACCUAAAGGAAAAAUAAGAUGCGAGAGUGACAAGACAACCACUAACACAUGUGGUUCAUCUCCAACCACAUGUUACCAAGAGGACUUAACUAGCACAGCAAAGCUCCGUCUGAUGCACAGCAUAGAAGUCUCAAACACUGUGGAUGGAACUUGAGUUCUAGCCGGUCCGUGAACAACUUUGGUUUGAGCCGGUCUGGGGUUAUCCGCCCAAGACUCUCGGCGAUGACAGGGUCAGAAGUCGGUGACUCUGGCUACGACGAAUCAGAAUUCGACCCGACCCUCACGAACGACGACUUGAAACCGACCAAACCAAGCCAAAGAACGUUUUCUUGGUUGGAUAUGUCGAGUUUAUGGAUCGGUCUCGUUGUCGGUGUGCCUACUUACUACCUGGCUGGAAGCUUAGUGGACCUAGGCAUGGCGUGGUGGCAAGGGAUAGCCACAGUGGUUGCUGCCAAUCUAAUUCUCCUCGUGCCGCUGGUUCUCACCGCACAGCCUGGCACCAUGUACGGAAUCUCUUUCCCCGUCCUCGCUAGAUCAUCUUUCGGCAUCCGUGGAGCCCAUAUUCCGACACUACUCAGAGCAUUGGUCGGUUGCGGAUGGUACGGGAUCGAGACAUGGAUCGGAGGAGAAGCUAUCUUCUUGCUCUUACCGUCUCACAUCAAGAACUCGGCUCUGUCUCAUACACUGCCUUGGCUAGGCACUUCUCCGCUUGAGUUCUCUUGUUUCAUUGUCUUCUGGUUGGCUCAGCUUUGUAUCGUCUGGAGAGGAAUGGACGGAAUCAGAAACCUCGAGAAGUACUCAGCUCCUGUUCUGAUCACUCUCACUUCUUGUCUCCUUGUCUGGUCUUAUGUCAAAGCUGGUGGGUUCGGUCAUAUGCUUUCCUUGUCAUCCAAGCUAACCUCUGCACAGUUCUGGACUCUCUUCUUCCCAUCUCUAACCGCAAACAUAAGUUUCUGGGCAACGCUAGCUUUAAACAUCCCUGACUUUUCCCGGUUUGCGAAAUCCCAAACCGAUCAAAUCAUCGGUCAAGUUGGUCUUCCGGUUUUCAUGGGUUUGUUCACGUUCGUUGGCUUAGCGGUUACGUCCUCCACAAGCAUCAUCUUCGGAAGAGUCAUCUCCAAUCCCAUUCAGCUUCUCGGUCAAAUCGGAGGUCUUGCCACAACCCUACUCGCUAUCCUCGGAAUCUCUCUGGCUACAAUCACCACGAACAUAGCUGCAAACGUGGUCGCACCAGCAAACGCGCUUGUGAACCUAAACCCUAAGGUUUUCACAUUCGGAAGAGGAGCCUUGUUGACCGCGGUUCUUGGAAUCGUGUGUCAGCCUUGGAGAUUGCUCAAGUCGAGUGAGAGCUUUGUCUACACAUGGCUCAUCGGUUACUCUGCGCUUCUUGGUCCUAUUGGUGGUAUAGUUCUUGCUGAUUAUUACCUCAUCAAGAAGAUGAAAUUGAACGUUGGAGACUUGUACUCUUUGAGUGCCUCCGGAGAAUAUUAUUAUUCCAAGGGAUAUAAUGCGGCUGCGGUGGUGGCUUUGGUUGCCGGAAUCAUCCCAGUCGUGCCUGGCUUUCUACACAAGGUCGGAGGUUUGUCGAAGAUCUCAAAUGGGUUCGUGGUAGUUUACGACAAUGCAUUGUUUUUCAGCUUCAUCAUCGCAGGAUUUGUCUAUUGGAUGUUAAUGUCUCGUCUGAGAAGGAAACAGAGCUCCUCUUCACAGCCACUUUUGUAAAUAUUUGGCUUUCAAUUCGUUUCGUAAGUAAUCAAAUUUAAAUCCACAGAUGUGCAAUCAAACAGAAGAACAAAAGAAAAAUAAAUGAUUCUUGUUUUUUCUA